rnacentral:rRNA from 1 species
CAGUAGCCGCGGUAAUACGUAGGUGGCAAGCGUUGUCCGGAAUUAUUGGGCGUAAAGGGCUCGCAGGCGGUUUCUUAAGUCUGAUGUGAAAGCCCCCGGCUCAACCGGGGAGGGUCAUUGGAAACUGGGAAACUUGAGUGCAGAAGAGGAGAGUGGAAUUCCACGUGUAGCGGUGAAAUGCGUAGAGAUGUGGAGGAACACCAGUGGCGAAGGCGACUCUCUGGUCUGUAACUGACGUUGAGGAGCGAAAGCGUGGGGAGCGAACAGGAUUAGAUACCCGCGUAGUCCCUGUCUCUUAUAC